UUGCUUCUCUUGAGAGCGGCGGACGGGUGAGUAAUGCCUAGGAAUCUGCCUGGUAGUGGGGGAUAACGUUCGGAAACGGACGCUAAUACCGCAUACGUCCUACGGGAGAAAGCAGGGGACCUUCGGGCCUUGCGCUAUCAGAUGAGCCUAGGUCGGAUUAGCUAGUUGGUGGGGUAAUGGCUCACCAAGGCGACGAUCCGUAACUGGUCUGAGAGGAUGAUCAGUCACACUGGAACUGAGACACGGUCCAGACUCCUACGGGAGGCAGCAGUGGGGAAUAUUGGACAAUGGGCGAAAGCCUGAUCCAGCCAUGCCGCGUGUGUGAAGAAGGUCUUCGGAUUGUAAAGCACUUUAAGUUGGGAGGAAGGGUUGUAGAUUAAUACUCUGCAAUUUUGACGUUACCGACAGAAUAAGCACCGGCUAACUCUGUGCCAGCAGCCGCGGUAAUACAGAGGGUGCAAGCGUUAAUCGGAAUUACUGGGCGUAAAGCGCGCGUAGGUGGUUUGUUAAGUUGGAUGUGAAAUCCCCGGGCUCAACCUGGGAACUGCAUUCAAAACUGACUGACUAGAGUAUGGUAGAGGGUGGUGGAAUUUCCUGUGUAGCGGUGAAAUGCGUAGAUAUAGGAAGGAACACCAGUGGCGAAGGCGACCACCUGGACUAAUACUGACACUGAGGUGCGAAAGCGUGGGG
rnacentral:rRNA from 1 species